rnacentral:rRNA from 1 species
AAAUUGAAGAGUUUGAUCAUGGCUCAGAUUGAACGCUGGCGGCAGGCCUAACACAUGCAAGUCGAACGGUAACAGGAAGCAGCUUGCUGCUUUGCUGACGAGUGGCGGACGGGUGAGUAAUGUCUGGGAAACUGCCUGAUGGAGGGGGAUAACUACUGGAAACGGUGGCUAAUACCGCAUAACGUCGCAAGACCAAAGAGGGGGACCUUCGGGCCUCUUGCCAUCAGAUGUGCCCAGAUGGGAUUAGCUUGUUGGUGAGGUAACGGCUCACCAAGGCGACGAUCCCUAGCUGGUCUGAGAGGAUGACCAGCCACACAGGAACUGAGACACGGUCCAGACUCCUACGGGAGGCAGCAGUGGGGAAUAUUGCACAAUGGGCGCAAGCCUGAUGCAGCCAUGCCGCGUGUAUGAAGAAGGCCUUCGGGUUGUAAAGUACUUUCAGCGGGGAGGAAGGUGUUG